UCACACUGCUUCCCACUGAGAUGCAAGAGAGGAUUCCUCAUCUUCCAGAUGUGCAGGCUGAAAUAUUUAUGGAUGAAAUUGUCAGAUGCCUAGCAUUUGCUCCAUGAUAAUCUGAGGUAAGGAAGACAGUGGCAAUAGCUACCUUAACUUUACUUCCAUCUUCAUGAAAUAGUACAUUCUUUUACUUCUAAUUCUAAUUCAUCAAGGUGAAAAACAUCACUUAUUCACCAUCCAGUGGUUUUAGGCACUAUGCUGAGCUACACAUACAGAAAAUGCAGAGACUUGGUUCUUGUGGUCAAGUUACUCAGUCUGGCAGGGAGGCAGGGAGACAGGCAGACCCACUACUGUGAGGAGUGAUGUACCUGGUGCUUUCCACCAGUUGCCAUGGGGCUGAUCCUCCUACUGACCUUGUAAUACUAAUGUUCUGAAUUUUGAUGGGAAAUAUUGUUUUUAACAUUGUGUGAAAAGCCACUUCCUUAUUGUACAGAAACCACUAACAUAC
rnacentral:lncRNA from 10 species